GCUUAAAUAGUUUAUUUAGAAAUUUUAAUUUGUGGAAUUAAAGAAGCGUUAUUUGCUUUAGGCU
rnacentral:tRNA from 1 species